rnacentral:tRNA from 1 species
GCCGAAGUGGUGGAAUUGGCAGACGCGACGGACUCAAAAUCCGUUAUGUGAUGAACAUGUGCGGGUUCAAGUCCCGCCUUCGGCA